UCUGCAGUGUUCUAGGGUUUGAACUGGAACAAUGUCAUCAACAAACAGUAGCAUCUAGAAGACCUCAUCAUCUCUAUGGAGUUCUUCUUCAGCUUGAACUAUGUGCUGGGUCUCCUGAACAAUGACUAAUACCUUUGCUUUCAGUCAAUUGUGUGGAUCUGGAAUUGAUCAGGGGAAUUCUGAUCAACUGAGUCCCCCCAACUCACUUGAUGAAAUGACAGUAGGCAAUCGGGGUUUAAGUGACUUGCCCAGGGUCACA